rnacentral:rRNA from 1 species
GUCUAUGGCCAUAACACCCUGAACACACCCGAUCUCGUCUGAUCUCGGAAGCUAAGCAGGGUCGGGCCUGGUUAGUACUUGGAUGGGAGAAAAGAUACCCUCUGCA